GCAGGACAAAUGCAACAAUAGACGUUGAUCGAGGAUGCUGCUCAUUCUUUCCAGCUUCUUUUUCUGCAGCUUCUUUUGAUUUCUUUUUCUUCUUUUUCUUUUCCU
rnacentral:ribozyme from 1 species